CUCCUCGUGCGACGGUUGGGAGC
rnacentral:siRNA from 1 species